AAACCAACAGGGAUUGCCUCAGUAAGGGCGAGUGAACCGGCAAAAGCUCAAAUUUGAAAUCCCCCCGGGGAGUUGUAAUUUGAAGAUUGCGUCUUGGAGGCGACCGUGUCUAUGUUCCUUGGAACAGGACGUCACAGAGGGUGAGAAUCCCGUGCGGCACGGCCCCCGGCUCCUUAUAAGGCGCUCUCGACGAGUCGAGUUGUUUGGGAAUGCAGCUCAAAGUGGGUGGUAAAUUCCAUCUAAAGCUAAAUACAGGCGAGAGACCGAUAGCGAACAAGUACAGUGAUGGAAAGAUGAAAAGCACUUUGAAAAGAGAGUGAAACAGCACGUGAAAUUGUUGAAAGGGAAGGGCAUGCCGUCAGAUUGUCAGUGUGGGUAAGAAGCGGGGUACAAAGACUGUGGAACGUGGCCCUCGGGUGUUAUAGCCGCAGUUCAUGCCCCGUCUCUUUCCGAGGCCUGCUUUGAGGACACCGACGUAAUGACGGUACGCCGCCCGUCUUG
rnacentral:rRNA from 1 species